CCGUUGCCGGCGACCGGCGCACGGGUGAGUAACACGUAUGCAACCUGCCCGUGGCAGGGGGAUAAGCGGGGGAAACCCCGUCUAAUACCGCGUAACGCGGCCUUGGGGCAUCCCAAGGCCGCCAAAGGGAGCAAUCCCGGCACGGAUGGGCAUGCGGCGCAUUAGCUAGUCGGCGGGGUAACGGCCCACCGAGGCGACGAUGCGUAGGGGUUCUGAGAGGAAGGCCCCCCACACUGGUACUGAGACACGGACCAGACUCCUACGGGAGGCAGCAG
rnacentral:rRNA from 1 species